CUCCUGAUGAUAUAAAGUCCUCCUCUCCUCCUCCUGAGGAUAUAAAGUCCUCCUCUCCUCCUCCUGAGGAUAUAACGUCAGGUGCAGUUGCAGCACUCUGCUACACACCUGAAGCAGCAGGAGACUUGAUUUAAACAUCAGAUGUCUCCAACAGCUCGUCUGCUGAGAUCUCAGUCUGCAGGAGAAAACACCACAAUCUGAUCUCUGACCAGAUUUACAGACUGACUUUCCAUAAAGAGUGAAGUUUCAGUUUUGGGUGAACUGUUCCUUUAAAGCAUUAACAGUUUGUGUUCUUGUACUUAAGAGUUUGUUAAAUAGAGUUUGAGUCUUUACAGAAGCCAAACUUCUCCACAUAAACUUGUUAAUUAUUCUCCAUUUCAAAUCUUCAUUAAAAUGAAUCCAUGAGUCAGAAUCGUCAUUAAAAAGAAGCCUCGCAGUAAAUUUGAUCCAAUUAUCUUGAAAUCUGAAGUCUGUCUUGUGAGGCACCUGUUUGUUCGAAGCCUUGCUAAAUAAAUCUGGCAGACUUGCAGCUGACCUCGGCUGAUCUCUUCUUCUUCUGCAGGUUUUCAGCACCGCAGGCGCAGAGCUGCGAGUCGACUGAGGUUAAUGAACAGAAGCUUUUAUGUUAAUAGAAGGACGGCCGGCGUGAUUUAACAAGACAAUCUGCAGAUUUACUUCGCUCAAAUACAUCUGAGGCUCCGGCUGCACGUUAUUAGCCGGCUAAACAAAGUCUCUGCGCUGAAGGUCGAGACAAAGAGAAGGUAAUUAGAUUAUAGCAAUUAAAUUGGGUUUUCCAUAUGAUCAAUGAUCUUAAUGUGUAAUCAUGGAUUACUUCUGAUGACAGGACGGACUCUGUCUGCAGGACGGAGCAGAGAUGGAGGCUGCGUUCACACCGUGCAGAUCUGGUUUCUUCAAUCUGGAUCAAUUUGACAGAUUUAUUCUGGUUCCAGUCAGUGGUUCUGAACCUGCUGCCAUGAGCUCGGCCCGUCUCCUGAGAGAGCCCCAGUUCUGGCUUGGAUCAAAUGAACGAUCUGAUGUUUAAACAUGUUGGAGAACAGAACCUGUAACUUAUCAAACAUGGAUCAGUUUAUUCACAUUAGGCAGAUUUUUGUGGACUCAGGUGUUUUUAAUUCCUCCUCACCUGAUUUCUAAUUAAUUUUCUGGGGCUUUGCUGCUGUUUGACUUCAUCUGGGCCUCCCAAAGUCGGGCCAACACAAGUCAGCGCUUCCCACUGUGGGGGUGAUAAAGGCCUGGUUCUGCACCGCUGGGUCAACGUAAAGAAUUAGAUGAAUCUACAACAUACGUGACAAGAAAAUAUGACGAGGGAAGUUUUACCAGAACAACUCUACGGUGCAUUUCUUAUGAAGAAAAUCUUCAGGUUGAGGCAGAAGUGACAGAAUGGUUCAGCAGCAUCUCUCAUCCAGCGUCCGUUCAGUCAUGACUACACAACAACUGACCGAGACAAACUCCCAUCAGGCCACAGGACGAGACCAGGAGCUCCAAGAGAAUAAAC